AAAUACUAUGGAUUUAUCAUUUAUCAAAAUAUCUUGUUUUGUGUUCAACAGAAUAAAGAAACUCAUACAGGUUUUAAACAACAUGCGGGGUCGAUAAGCAAUAUGCUUACAGAUGGAUGUAUUCGUUUUGGAGACACUGAUGGAUGGGAACAGGGAAAAAAUCUAUUUCUCUUUCCUUUCAGGAAAACAACAUCUAGUGGAUAAUCGCGGUAUUGCAAAUUAACACAAAAAUUCUUCAGAAACACAUUUUUUAUGCAAAUGUUUUUUCUAAAUUGACGAGAUAACUCAUCAAUAGCGGGG